GAUUAGUAAAAAGAAAAUAUAAAAAACGUCUCUAAUAUAAUUGAUACAAACGUUCAAGAUUUUAAAACACUUCUAAAAAGUAUGUGAUUACUCGAAACCAGCUCAGUGGCUUAAAAACGUCGAAAAAUGUGUAACGUAUCUACUCACUCAAGUAGUUAAAACAAAAUUUAAAAACGUCUAAUAUAAUUGAUACAAACGUUCAAGAUUUUAAAAUAGGUAAAAAAUAUACGCGAUUACUCAAACCUAGCUCACUGGUUUAACAGAAAUGUCCGAAAAUUGAACGCAUGGCAACUGCUCAAGCUGGCGGCUGACCGACUGACUCUGUGUUCGUUCGUCGUAGCGUUUCUGCAAAAGUGACCUCCACGUACAUCGGGGUUACUCGGUAAUUGAUUAAAAGUAUUUUCACUUAUACAUGCAUCUGUUUGCAUCUUGCUAACACAGUUUAGACGACUGAAGGUGAUGUUGGUGGGGGUAAUAAUGAAGCAGCCGAAAGUGAAGGUGGUCUCGUUCGCCUUCCUUCAAGUUCUCAUGACCAGACUCGGCACCAGCGUCGGGAGUAGAGGAGAGAGUGGACUAGACUCAUCAUGACCCACUAAGUCAUCUUGGUAAGCCAGAAGGGAAGCAUGAUGAAUUUCCCAUGGUGAUGCAAAAUGAAGAUGCUUCUUUGGAUAGUCAGACUGAGAUGUGCCGUAGACUUACGUCUAAACUGACAUGUACUUGAGAUAGGUUCAAGAACAGUCCAAGUAUUUAAUGUGUAAUUGCUGUGUCUGUAAGGCUUCAGAGAAGUAUAAAUUUGUACUAUUGCAUUACCGAAAAUAUCCACUCACAAGAAAACAGAUGGUGAAACUUAAAAACCAUUUUACACUUACAAUGCACUGUUCAGUUUGCCUCAUUAUGGUGUCAUUACAGUGUAUGUAAAAUACAAGUGAAAAAUAUAAUUUUAAUUAUCGGUGGUUCCCAUAAAAAGGAAACCACAAUAUUUUGCAAAGUUGUAAGAGUGGCUUGGACUGUAUUUUUAUUUACAUGGGAAGCAACAUUAUUGUUGGAAAUUCUAAAUUUCUUUAUUUGUAUUGCUAAUUGUCAUUAUCAUGUGAAUGUCUUUAUUUGCAUGUGAAGGAACAUUGUUGUUGGAAAUAUUAAAAUUUCUUUAUUUGUAUUACUAGUAGUCAUUAUCAUGUGAAUAUAUUUAAGUUUAAGCUAGAUAAUCAAGAAUACUGUACUUAUUUUACAUAUGUAAUGUGACAAGACCAGUUUUCAGUUAGUGGAUAACACUUUAAACUUGAAUUGUGGGGGGCAGUAACAAUAUCUAUACCAAUUAAAAGAAGAAAGGAAUCUUCUGUUAUCUGUGACACCAAGGGUUUUAGUCCUGGUAUAUAGCCUACCAAUGAUGCUACUACCAACAUGUAGGACUAAGCCAGAGCUAGAGGACUUGCCAAUAGCAGAUAUGGAACGAUGUGAUCGAGAAGCCUACAGCCUAGGUAGGUUACACAAACCUGAUCAAAUAUAUACAUUGGUUUAAUUACUUAUAUGAAAGGGGAUUUACUUGUCAUCCUUUAUAUUUUAAAUUAUAUGACUACACAGAGAACAUUCAUGUUUGCUUAAGUAUGUAGUCGUGUUGACCACAUACUUAUAUCAACUGCAUAUUUGUUAUGAGCAAGGCUGUGAUCCCAAUUUUUACUGACUACACAGAGAAUAUUCAUGUGUGCUUAAGUAUGUAGUCGUGUUGACUACAUACUUAAGCACACAUGAAUAUUCUGUGUGUAGUCAGUAAAAACUGGGAUCAAAGCAUUGUUCAUCAAAAAUAUACAGUUACAUAUUAAGACCCUUUCCUUAGAUAUUUUUAGAAAUGCUCUACUCCUGAUGAAUAGGUGAGAUAAAUACAUGGGGUUGGGAUUUCUGUUAAGUCAUAACUGGUUCUGUCUUAUAACUUAAAAUAUAAAGGAAGACAAGUAAAUGCCCUUUCAUAUAAGUAAUCAAAUCAA